AGAGAGCACAGACAGAGAGAGAGCACAGACAGAGAGAGAGCACAGACAGAGAGAGAGGACAGACAGAGAGAGAGGACAGACAGAGAGAGAGCACAGACAGAGAGAGAGGACAGCGCUGCACUAUUUACUCAUCACACGUAUAAAACAAUCUGUUUCUCCUGUUGUUAGUGAAUUGUUGGGUCAUUUCUAAGUCUUGUCCAAAAUGGCAACCUAGUCCCUUGAUAGUGCACUACUUUUGACCCGGGCCAGUAGUGCACUAUCUAGUGAAUAGGGUGCCGUUUGGAACUCCCACCUGCUCUUGAUGAAUUUCUCCGGACAUUUCUAUGUUCUGUUGUUGCUAUAAUUAAUGAUGAAGGCAUCACACCUGAUUGUUCUCUAGUUCUCAUAAAGACAUGUACCCAUCUCUACUAUCUCUACCAUAGCCUCAGACAUCUCUACUGCUACCAGUCUCUUACCCCUCUCCUCAGGGGACCCUCAGACAUCUCUACUGCUACCAGUCUCUUACCCCUCUCCUCUGUGGACCCUCAGACAAUUCACAAUGUUGAUAUAGCCCUGAAGUAGCUCACCUGAUUCACCUAUAAGGGCCUGAUUAUUAGUUGACAAGUUGAAUCAGGUGUGCUAGCUGUGGUAUAGGUAAAAUACGUUGAAUGUCUGGGAGUCCAAGAGGAGAGGUUUGGAACAGCUGGGGGUCCCCGAGGAGAGGUUUGGAACAGCUGGGGGUCCCCGAGGAGAGGUUUGGAACAGCUGGGGGUCCCCGAGGAGAGGUUUGGAACAGCUGGGGGUCCCCGAGGAGAGGUUUGGAACAGCUGGGGGUCUCAGAGGAUAGGUUUGGAACAGCUGGGGGUCCUGAGGAGAGGUUUGGAACAGCUAGUUGUCCUGAGGAGAGGUUUGGAACAGCUGGGGUUCCCAGAGGAGAGGUUUGGAAAAGCUGGGGGUCUCAGAGGAGAGGUUUGGAACAACUAGUUGUCCUGAGAAGAUGUUUGGAACAGCUGGGGGUCCUGAGGAGAAUUUUGGAACAGCUGGGGUUCCCAGAGGAGAGGUUUGGAACAGCUGUGGGUCCUGAGGAGAGGUUUGGAACAGCUGGGGUCCUGAGGAGAGGUUUGGAACAACUAGUUGUCCUGAGAAGAUGUUUGGAACAGCUGGGGGUCCUGAGGAGAAUUUUGGAACAGCUGGGGUUCCCAGAGGAGAGGUUUGGAACAGCUGUGGGUCCUGAGGAGAGGUUUGGAACAGCUGUGGGUCCUGAGGAGAGGUUUGGAACAGCUGUGGGUCCUGAGGAGAGGUUUGGAACAGCUGUGGGUCCUGAGGAGAGGUUUGGAACAGCUGUGGGUCCUGAGGAGAGGUUUGGAACAGCUGUGGGUCCUGAGGAGAGGUUUGGAACAGCUGUGGGUCCUGAGGAGGAGGUUUGGAACAGCUGGGUGUCCUGAGGAGAGGUUUGGAACAGCUAGUUGUCCUGAGAAGAGGUUUGGAACAACUGGGGUUCCCAGAGGAGAGGUUUGGAACAGCUGGGGGUCUCAGAGGAGGAGAGGUUUGGGACAGCUGGGGGUCCUGAGGAGAGAUUUGGAACAGCUGGGGGUCUCAGAGGAGAGGUUUGGAACAGCUGGGGGCCUCAGAGGAGAGGUUUGGAACAGCUAAUUGUCUUGAGAAGAGGUUUGGAACAGCUGGGGGUCCAGAGGAAAGGUUUGGAACAGCUGGGGGUCCAGAGGAGAGGUUUGGAAAAGCUGGGGUUCCUAGAGGAGAGGUUUGGAACAGCUGGGGGUCUCAGAGGAGAGGUUUGGAACAGCUAGUUGUCCCGAGGAGAGGUUUGGAACAGCUAGUUGUCCCGAGUAGAGGUUUGGAACAGCUAGUUGUCCUGACGAGAGGUUUGGAACAGCUAGUUGUCCUGAGGAGAGGUUUGGGACUGCUGGGGGUCCCAGAGGAGAGGUUUGAGAACCCCUGUCUUAUCCGCUUUAUCAAGCCAUCCACCAUUCACAUCUUUAUACAGUGAUUUUCUGAUUAAUACAAAUGUUCCUUUAUUUAAACUCCGUGUUAUUGUCUCUUAAAUAAACAUUUUUCAGUAUUUGAUGUGAAUUUGGGGCAUUUGGCUUAACUUUUAAUAAACACAUUUUCUGUG